CUGUGGAUGUUUCCAUCCGGUGACGUGAUUAAGAAAAGCAGACAAAUAACUAUGAUACCAGAUGUACUCCUUAAGCAAUAUAAUGAAGGGGGAGGCAGGACAUCUGGUUUUAAUUCCACUUCUGCCCCUCACUGACAGUGUAGCUUUAGGCAGAUCACUCCGAGCUUGGUUUUCAUAUCAUGAGAAAAAGGGAACUGGGAUUGUCUUUUCAGGGCAGAGUUUCUGUUUGUGCAUAUUUGCCAAAGUGGAGGUACAAAUUAUAGCACGGUGGAUGCUUGCGCCGGAAUGCCUGGGCUGGAAUUCUGGCUCUUCUGCUUAUCAACUGUGUAACUCCGGUCAAGAUGAGAAAAUAUGCUUGAAAGACGUGAAAUGA
rnacentral:lncRNA from 1 species